ACGCUGGCGGCGUGCCUAAUACAUGCAAGUAGAACGCUGAAGGAGGAGCUUGCUUCUCUGGAUGAGUUGCGAACGGGUGAGUAACGCGUAGGUAACCUGCCUGGUAGCGGGGGAUAACUAUUGGAAACGAUAGCUAAUACCGCAUAAUAGUAGAUGUUGCAUGACAUUUGCUUAAAAGGUGCAAUUGCAUCACUACCAGAUGGACCUGCGUUGUAUUAGCUAGUUGGUGGGGUAACGGCUCACCAAGGCGACGAUACAUAGCCGACCUGAGAGGGUGAUCGGCCACACUGGGACUGAGACACGGCCCAGACUCCUACGGGAGGCAGCAGUAGGGAAUCUUCGGCAAUGGACGGAAGUCUGACCGAGCAACGCCGCGUGAGUGAAGAAGGUUUUCGGAUCGUAAAGCUCUGUUGUAAGAGAAGAACGAGUGUGAGAGUGGAAAGUUCACACUGUGACGGUAUCUUACCAGAAAGGGACGGCUAACUACGUGCCAGCAGCCGCGGUAAUACGUAGGUCCCGAGCGUUGUCCGGAUUUAUUGGGCGUAAAGCGAGCGCAGGCGGUUAGAUAAGUCUGAAGUUAAAGGCUGUGGCUUAACCAUAGUACGCUUUGGAAACUGUUUAACUUGAGUGCAAGAGGGGAGAGUGGAAUUCCAUGUGUAGCGGUGAAAUGCGUAGAUAUAUGGAGGAACACCGGUGGCGAAAGCGGCUCUCUGGCUUGUAACUGACGCUGAGGCUCGAAAGCGUGGGGAGCAACCAGGAUUAGAUACCCUGGUAGUCCACGCCGUAAACGAUGAGUGCUAGGUGUUAGACCCUUUCCGGGGUUUAGUGCCGCAGCUAACGCAUUAAGCACUCCGCCUGGGGAGUACGACCGCAAGGUUGAAACUCAAAGGAAUUGACGGGGGCCCGCACAAGCGG
rnacentral:rRNA from 1 species